UUCGCAAUGCCCGAAAGGGUGACGAAGCGACGCCGCGUGAGCGAAGAAGGCCUUAGGGUUGUAAAGCUCUGUCGAGGGUUAUGAAAUAUAGAUGGGUUAAUACCCCAUUUAUUUGACAAAAGCCCAAAAGGAAGCCACGGCUAACUCUGUGCCAGCAGCCGCGGUAAUACAGAGGUGGCGAGCGUUGUUCGGUAUUAUUGGGCGUAAAGAGCACGUAGGUGGUUUUGUAAGUCAGGUGUGAAAGCCUUCUGUUCAAAGGAAGAACGGCAUCUGAAACUGUAGAUCUUGAGUAUAGGAGGGGAGAGUGGAACUUCUGGUGGAGCGGUGAAAUGCGUAGAUAUCAGAAGGAACGUCGGCGGCGAAAGCGACUCUCUGGCCUAUUACUGACACUGAGGUGCGAAAGUUAGGGGAGCAAACGGGAUUAGAUACCCCGGUAGUCCUAACCGUAAACGAUGGGCACUAAGUAGAGGGGUUUU
rnacentral:rRNA from 1 species